rnacentral:pre_miRNA from 1 species
UUAAAUCAAAUUUGUAUGGUGUUUUAACGUUCGUCUACGUUUGCCGCUAGGGGCGCUGUUUUAACUGCAUACAAAUUUGAGUUA